rnacentral:rRNA from 1 species
CAGCCGCCGCGGUAAUACGUAGGUGGCAAGCGUUGUCCGGAAUUAUUGGGCGUAAAGGGCUCGCAGGCGGUUUCUUAAGUCUGAUGUGAAAGCCCCCGGCUCAACCGGGGAGGGUCAUUGGAAACUGGGAAACUUGAGUGCAGAAGAGGAGAGUGGAAUUCCACGUGUAGCGGUGAAAUGCGUAGAGAUGUGGAGGAACACCAGUGGCGAAGGCGACUCUCUGGUCUGUAACUGACGCUGAGGAGCGAAAGUGUGGGGAGCGAACAGGAUUAGAUACCCCUGUAGUCCCUGUCUCUUAUAC